CGAAGAAAGGGGGGGAGAAAUCUGAAAUUCACAUAAAUGAGCAAUGUCAAUAGUUUAGAAAGAGUUACUUAGGGAACAAAGGGCCCUUAUGAGGCACUAGUGAGAAGAAAUGGGGAAAAAAUGAGUCCUCACAAUGUCGGCCUUUUCUCCCCGCGACUUGUUAUCAAGCAGCCCGCGCGAGCCCCUCCGAUCUGCAUGAAAAUGCGAACCCCAAACCUCUUCCAGUUCAGACAUGACAGAGGGAACAACACACACUUUGCAGUUUCACAGAGCAAUAAACAGAGGGAUGGAAGUGUCUGCCCAUGUAGAAAAGACAGC